UGGCGCAUGCGUAAACAGUGUUUACCAGGCCGCCUUUCUCAGCGGCCUGGAAUCGAGGCUAAUACUCUGAGAGCACAUCCAUUGGAGUGGUCCUACUAGCUAGCACGGUGCACUGGACACAAUGGACCAACACUCUGACUCAGGGGAAAGGUACAGGACACCUCAACAUGACUCUGGUGUCACUCCAGUGUCGAUCUGCUGUGUCAGUAUGUACCGUUUCAGCUCAGCGUUCCCUUGGUCCACUCCCUUCUCUGAAAAAAACUCGUCCUGUUGCUAAGAAACCAACCAGCCAAUCAAAACCCUCCGUGACUAUCACCCCUAUCAACGCUACGAGGGCUAUUGCCACAGCGGUUACCACGACAAUCAUUUCAUCUCGAGAUCGACCUCGCGGAAGAGGUAACGGGUCUAAGUCGCCGCGGCAACAACGAGUAUCAAACCUGAAACCGUCCAAUCAGAAUGCAGGAUUCUAUAAGACAGUGGACUGUGGAUGCUUUUGGUCAUGUCCCGUUCACUCCACAAAGAAUAGGAUCAGAGACCAACCUGACCACAGUGAUGAGUGGGUGUGGGUGUGUGUGUGUGUGUGUGUGUUGUGUGCGUGUAGUGUUUUCCUUAAUAGACUUUCUACUAGCUACCUAGAACGUUUUACGAGGGUUGAUCAAUUUGCUACAAUAAAAUUGCAAAACCUAAAAUUAUUGCUAGUAAAUACACACGAUCCUUGCCAGAACGCAAUAACUAGAUCGCAAAAGGUCAAUUAAUUUUCUCCUCCUUUGCAAAGGUUUGUCACCAGCAAAUAAUUAUUCUAGUAAUACGGUUCUUGCCUUAUGUACAGAAUGUUUAUUGUGGUGACCCCUAGGCUGGGCAGAGGCUGACUCUGGGUCCCUUAUUAAACCUGGCUGUAUUAUAGAGGGUGAUACCAUACACACACACACACACACAC